GGAUGUGAUGGGGAGCGAAAUUUAGUAGCGAAGUAGCUGAUUUCACACUGUCAAGAAAAGUCUCUAUCGAGGUUAAAGGUACCCGUACCGCAAACCGACACAGGUGGGUGAGGAGAGUAUCCUAAGGCCAGCGAGAGAACUGUUGUUAAGGAACUCGGCAAAAUGACCCCGUAACUUAGGGAUAAGGGGUGCCACCAUCAGGUGGCCGCAGAGAAUAGGCCCAAGCGACUGUUUACCAAAAACAUAGGUUUCUGCUAAGUCGCAAGACGAUGUAUAGGAGCUGACGCCUGCCCGGUGCUGGAAGGUUAAGGGGAUCUGUUAGAGCAAUCGAAGCAGUGAACUUAAGCCCCAGUAAACGGCGGCCGUAACUAUAACG
rnacentral:rRNA from 1 species